rnacentral:lncRNA from 1 species
UGCACAUGGUACGCUCCUGCUCCUCGACUUCUCUGCUGCUCAGUUUGCUGCUUUGAGCUUUCUGUGUACUCAUGAAGUGUGUUCAGAAGUGCCUUCUGCCUUGCUUCCUCAAGGAAAAGAGCAACAGCCAUGGAGGAGAAGGGAGCCUUGCUGCUCUUGUCCAUAUGUGAUGAUCCAGAGCAAGACUUGAGGGAAUCUGGGGAAGACUGUAUUGCAGUAUCUUCCAUCUUCUCCUGACAUACCAGAAACUUGAUCAUCUGACUCUGUGUGCUAACUGCAGGACCUCCAGAUUUUUAAUAAAAACAUCAGAGAUUUGAAAUGGGUAGAGAAGUUCUUCAACCACAUGGAACAGGAAUGGCCUUGGUAUUUCUCAGUGAGCAUUUAAAAAGUCCUAAACCUCAAGUAUUUUGUGCAAGCCCUGCCUAAUAUGAAAUGGAUGUGCUUUGUAAGGUGGGGUUGUAGUUAGGCCUGGGAAGUCUAGGAGGCUGCACACCAGUGGGUGCCUGGCUUCUUUCACAAUAUGGAAAGCUUUUAAAUACCUAGGACAAUGUUAUUAGUGUAUUACAGAGUGCACUGGCCUUCUGUCCCUACUGCUAACUGAAUACUGGUGUGCUCUACGCUUGCAAUACGGGAGGCAAAACUAUUUCACAGCGCACAGACAGCAC